rnacentral:lncRNA from 1 species
GAAAUUUAAAAAAUAUUUUUUCCUGAUUCCCCCUAUUUACUUGGUUGGUGCUAUGCUAAAUCCGUGCAUGAAAUAUAAUCAUAUGUGUCACUUUAGUACUCUUAUUUAUACUAACUUAGAAAUAAAUACUAACCAUGAUUCUGAACAAGUACAACCUGAUUUGUGGACGGCUACGACUGAUGCAAAGGAUUACACAGAAAAAUUAUAUAAUUACUAUGCUGAUUUAUAUGAUUUAGUCGUACCUACAAAUAUCACUCCAACUGUCGCUCCUCAUCCUCCCAAGGAGCCAUCAUCUUCUAAAAGGCCGGCACAUAGUGGUUUUUCUGAUUCGUUUUAUGAUUUAAAUUGUUGGAACAAUGUUGAUGAGAGAACUUACACAUCAACUUAUCGGGAAG